rnacentral:rRNA from 1 species
UACAGAGGUCUCAAGCGUUGUUCGGAUUCAUUGGGCGUAAAGGGUGCGUAGGCGGCGCGGUAAGUCGGGUGUGAAAUCUCGGAGCUUAACUCCGAAACUGCAUUCGAUACUGCCGUGCUUGAGGACUGGAGAGGAGACUGGAAUUUACGGUGUAGCGGUGAAAUGCGUAGAUAUCGGGAGGAAUACCGAUGGCGAAGGCAGGUCUCUGGGCUGACACUGACGCUCAUGCACGAAAGCGUGGGGAGCAAACAGG